rnacentral:rRNA from 1 species
UUGACCUCGGGAUCAGGUAGGAAUACCCGCUGAACUUAAGCAUAUCAAA